rnacentral:rRNA from 1 species
CGAGACCUCAGGUCAGGCGGGGCUACCCGCUGAAUUUAAGCAUAUCAAUAAGCGGAGGAAAAGAAACUAACAAGGAUUCCUUAGUAACGG